rnacentral:rRNA from 1 species
UACGAAGGGGGCUAGCGUUGUUCGGAAUUACUGGGCGUAAAGGGCGCGUAGGCGGUACUUCAAGUCAGGCGUGAAAGCCCCGGGCUCAACCUGGGAACCGCGCUUGAGACUGGAGAACUAGAGUUCGGGAGAGGAUGGUGGAAUUCCCAGUGUAGAGGUGAAAUUCGUAGAUAUUGGGAAGAACACCGAUGGCGAAGGCAGCCAUCUGGACCGACACUGACGCUGAGGCGCGAAAGCGUGGGGAG